rnacentral:rRNA from 1 species
GAGAGAACUCUUGUUAAGGAACUCGGCAAAAUGACCCCGUAACUUCGGGAGAAGGGGUGCUUGUGAAAGCAAGCCGCAGUGAAUAGGCCCAGGCGACUGUUUAUCAAAAACACAGGUCUCUGCUAAACCGCAAGGUGAUGUAUAGGGGCUGACGCCUGCCCGGUGCUGGAAGGUUAAGAGGAGAGGUUAGCGCAAGCGAAGCUUUGAAUUGAAGCCCCAGUAAACGGCGGCCGUAACAAUAACGGUCCUAAGGUAGCGAAAUUCCUUGUCGGGUAAGUUCCGACCCGCACGAAAGGCGUAACGAUCUGGGCGCUGUCUCAACAAGAGACUCGGUGAAAUCAUAGUACCUGUGAAGAUGCAGGUUACCCGCGACAGGACGGAAAGACCCCGUGGAGCUUUACUGUAGCUUGAUAUUGAGCACUGGUGGCACAUGUACAGGAUAGGUAGGAGACGAAGAAACCAGGACGCCAGUCUUGGUGGAGUCGCUGUUGGGAUACUACCCUUGUGUCACUGGGGUUCUAACCCGUGGCCCUUAUCGGGUCAGGGAACAGUGUCAGGUGGGCAGUUUGACUGGGGCGGUCGCCUCCCAAAGAGUAACGGAGGCGCCCAAAGGUUCCCUCAGAAUGGUUGGAAAUCAUUCGAAGAGUGUAAAGGCAGAAGGGAGCUUGACUGCGAGACCUACAAGUCGAGCAGGGACGAAAGUCGGGCUUAGUGAUCCGGCGGUACCGAAUGGAAGGGCCGUCGCUCAACGGAUAAAAGCUACCCCGGGGAUAACAGGCUGAUCUCCCCCAAGAGUUCACAUCGACGGGGAGGUUUGGCACCUCGAUGUCGGCUCAUUGCAUCCUGGGGCUGUAGUCGGUCCCAGGGGUUGGGCUGUUCGCCCAUUAAAGCGGUACGCGAGCUGGGUUCAGAACGUCGUGAGACAGUUCGGUCCCUAUCCGUCGUGGGCGUAGGAAAUUUGAGAGGAGCUGUCCUUAGUACGAGAGGACCGGGAUGGACACACCGCUGGUGUACCAGUUGUUCUGCCAGGAGCAUAGCUGGGUAGCUACGUGUGGACGGGAUAAACGCUGAAAGCAUCUAAGCGUGAAGCCCCCCUCAAGAUGAGAUUUCCCAUUCGAAAGAAGUAAGAUCCCUUGAAGACGACGAGGUUGAUAGGUCAGGAGUGGAAGUGUGGUGACACAUGGAGCGGACUGAUACUAAUCGAUCGAGGACUUAAC